rnacentral:rRNA from 1 species
UACGUAGGGUGCGAGCGUUGUCCGGAAUUAUUGGGCGUAAAGAGCUUGUAGGCGGUUUGUCGCGUCUGCUGUGAAAAUCCGGGGCUCAACCCCGGACUUGCAGUGGGUACGGGCAGGCUAGAGUGUGGUAGGGGAGACUGGAAUUCCUGGUGUAGCGGUGAAAUGCGCAGAUAUCAGGAGGAACACCGAUGGCGAAGGCAGGUCUCUGGGCAUUAACUGACGCUGAGGAGCGAAAGCAUGGGGAGCGAACAGG